rnacentral:rRNA from 1 species
CGGGGACAACGGUGACAGGUGGUGCAUGGUUGUCGUCAGCUCGUGUCGUGAGAUGUUGGGUUAAGUCCCGCAACGAGCGCAACCCUUGAUCUUAGUUGCCAUCAUUUAGUUGGGCACUCUAAGGUGACUGCCGGUGACAAACCGGAGGAAGGUGGGGAUGACGUCAAAUCAUCAUGCCCCUUAUGACCUGGGCUACACACGUGCUACAAUGGACGAUACAAACGGUUGCCAACUCGCGAGAGGGAGCUAAUCCGAUAAAGUCGUUCUCAGUUCGGAUUGUAGGCUGCAACUCGCCUACAUGAAGCCGGAAUCGCUAGUAAUCGCGGAUCAGCAUGCCGCGGUGAAUACGUUCCCGGGCCGUGUACACACCGCCCGUCACACCACGAGAGUUUGUAACACCCGAAGUCGGUGGGGUAACCUUUAUGGAGCCAGCCGCCGAAGGUGGGAUAGAUGAUUGGGGUGAAGUCGUAACAAGGUAGCCGUAUCGGAAGGUGCGGCUGGAUCACCUCCUUUCUAAGGA